rnacentral:tRNA from 1 species
GGAAAUGUGCCUGAAUAUCAAGGGCCACUAUGAUAAAGUGGACAUGGAGGUACACAAGCCCUCCCGUUUCCU